rnacentral:rRNA from 1 species
GAUAAACGCUGGCGGCGCACAUAAGACAUGCAAGUUGAACGGACUUAAUCGAAAUAUUUAUAUUUUGAAGCGGUUAGUGGCGGACUGGUGAGUAACGCGUAAGGAACCUGCCUAUUAGAGGGGAAUAACAGUGAGAAAUCAUUGCUAAUACCGCAUAUGCCAUAGAUAUCACAUGAUAACAGUGGGAAAGGAGCAAUCUGCUAAUAGAUGGCCUUGCGUCUGAUUAGCGAGUUGGUGGGGUAACGGCCUACCAAGUCGACGAUCAGUAGCCGGACUGAGAGGACGAACAGCAAGACGGGGAGGGAGACAAGGCGCAGAAUCCGACGGGAGGCAGAAGUGGGGAAUGUUGGAAAAUGGGCGAAGGCCUGAUCAAGAAAUGCCGCGUGUGUGAAGAAGGCCUUCGGGUGGGAAAGCACUUUUGUAAGGAAAGAAAGCCGUGGCUCUAAUACAGUCGGGGGAUGACGGUACCGGAAGAAUAAGCACCGGCUAACUACGUG